UUCGGAUUGCAGGCUGCAACUCGCCUGCAUGAAGCUGGAAUUGCUAGUAAUCGCGGAUCAGCAAGCCGCGGUGAAUACGUUCCCGGGCCUUGUACACACCGCCCGUCACACCAUGAGAGUCGGGAACACCCGAAGUCCGUAGUCUAACCGCAAGGGGGGCGCGGCCGAAGGUGGGUCCGGUAAUUGGGUGAAGUCGUAACAAGGUAAC
rnacentral:rRNA from 1 species